UCUUUUUUUUUUUUUUUUUUUUUUUCCUCUUCCCUCAAAUGAAAAAAGGAGGACCAUUAGCUAGGUGAUUAGCCCUAGGUGGGAAACGAAUCGUCUCAAACCAGAAUACUAACUUUUUGAGGAAGUCUGUGGAAGUUCUAAAGACCCACCCCAUCCCAUGACCUUUAAUUCUUUUUAGUUCUGCCACAGGGAAGCAGCCAGCGACUAAUAAAAGAUUUGAUCUUGCCAUAAUUUCCCAAGCAGGAAUGGACAAGGAACCCAAUUCUGGACAAAGGGAGAGUUUGUGGAGGCUUUUGGAAGAGAAUGUAGUAACUCUAAUAUUAUACUCAACAGACAAAGAAACAGACAAAAAUCUUCUCCGUGGGGGUUGCUAUGGCUUUGGAAGAAAAACCACCUGUAAAGAAAAAUGUAAGAUAGGAAAAGAUGCAUUUCUCACUCCCAUCCUUCCUCAGUUUCUUCCCUCUCCCUGCCUUAAUAUAUAUGUUGAGGAGUUGCAUUAUAAUAAUGGCUCAUAAUACACCUUAAAACGCAAAUUAAUAAAGCAGUUAUUACUGCUGAUACCCAGUUCCUGCACAUAAACCACCUGUGUGUCCCUGUGUUCCAGUAAGACUGCAUCUGAAUGGAAUCUACUAGAGACCAGGCCUAUGCUCUUCCCAUUUCCUACAGAGACAAAUGGAUUUCAGGGGCAGGAAUGGCUAGUUCCUGUUGCCCUGUUGCUCAGUUACUUGGUCCUACACACUUACAUCUGCACAGAUUAAAGUAUUACCAGCAAGGAAACUAAGGUUCAGAAUGGAACAUUAUACUUCUUAAGCUCACAGAGUACUGGAGAAGGUGGAAUUCUAACCAUGCGUUGCCUAGGAAAACUGAUGGAGUUUUCCUUAUGCCAUUAAAG